UGGCGGCAUGCUUUACACAUGCAAGUCGAGCGGCAGCGCGGGGCAACCUGGCGGCGAGCGGCGAACGGGUGAGGAAUACAUCGGAACGUACCCCGGAGUGGGGGAUAACGCCGCGAAAGCGGCGCUAAUACCGCAUAUGCUCUGAGGAGGAAAGUGGGGGACCGCAAGGCCUCACGCUCUGGGAGCGGNCGAUGUCCGAUUAGCUAGUUGGUGGGGUAAUGGCUUACCAAGGCGACGAUCGGUAGCUGGUCUGAGAGGAUGAUCAGCCACACUGGGACUGAGACACGGCCCAGACUCCUACGGGAGGCAGCAGUGGGGAAUUUUGGACAAUGGGGGGAACCCUGAUCCAGCCAUNCCGNGUGCGGGAAGAAGGCCUUCGGNUUGUAAACCGC
rnacentral:rRNA from 1 species